CUGAACCACCGAACCGGGCCACAGAGUGGCAAUGUGGUUGGCAUGACCCAGUCACAGCACCCCGGGACUCUUGUCCAGCAUUGGCGCUCUAUAUGCAGAGCCCUUUCACUCAGCCUGGCAGCAUCUGAUCAGCGUCGAAGCCCAGUGGCUUGAGGAAUAAAUAUAAACAGUGCAGAGACUAAAAGCAGAGCUCUGGUCCAGCACAUCUACUCCCAAGCUCUGCCACCCUG
rnacentral:lncRNA from 10 species